rnacentral:rRNA from 1 species
AGUGAACGCUGGCGGUAGGCCUAACACAUGCAAGUCGAACGGCAGCACAGUAAGAGCUUGCUCUUACGGGUGGCGAGUGGCGGACGGGUGAGGAAUACAUCGGAAUCUACUUUUUCGUGGGGGAUAACGUAGGGAAACUUACGCUAAUACCGCAUACGACCUACGGGUGAAAGCAGGGGAUCUUCGGACCUUGCGCGAUUGAAUGAGCCGAUGUCGGAUUAGCUAGUUGGCGGGGUAAAGGCCCACCAAGGCGACGAUCCGUAGCUGGUCUGAGAGGAUGAUCAGCGACACUGGAACUGAGACACGGGCCAGACUCCUACGGGAGGCAGCAGUGGGGAAUAUUGGACAAUAGGCGCAAGCCUGAUCCAGCCAUACCGCGUGGGUGAAGAAGGCCUUGGGGUUGGAAAGCCCUUUUGUUGGGAAAGAAAAGCAGCAGGUUAAUACGCCGCUGUUCUGACGGUACCCAAAGAAUAAGCACCGGCUAACUUCGUG